UGAGGAAUAUUGGUCAAUGGGCGAGAGCCUGAACCAGCCAAGUAGCGUGCAGGAUGACGGCCCUAUGGGUUGUAAACUGCUUUUAUAUGGGAAUAAAGUGAGGGACGUGUCCCUUAUUGCAUGUAUCAUAUGAAUAAGGACCGGCUAAUUCCGUGCCAGCAGCCGCGGUAAUACGGAAGGUCCAGGCGUUAUCCGGAUUUAUUGGGUUUAAAGGGAGCGUAGGCUGUUUGUUAAGCGUGUUGUGAAAUGUAAGAGCUCAACUUUUAGAUUGCAGCGCGAACUGGCAGACUUGAGUGCGCACAACGUAGGCGGAAAUCAUGGUGUAGCGGUGAAAUGCUUAGAUAUCAUGACGAACUCCGAUUGCGAAGGCAGCUUACGGGAGCGCAACUGACGCUAAAGCUCGAAGGUGCGAGUAUCGAACAGG
rnacentral:rRNA from 1 species